UAGGGAAUCUUCGGCAAUGGGGGGAACCCUGACCGAGCAACGCCGCGUGAGUGAAGAAGGUUUUCGGAUCGUAAAGCUCUGUUGUUAAGGAAGAACGAGUGUGAGAAUGGAAAGUUCAUGCUGUGACGGUACUUAACCAGAAAGGGACGGCUAACUACGUGCCAGCAGCCGCGGUAAUACGUAGGUCCCGAGCGUUGUCCGGAUUUAUUGGGCGUAAAGCGAGCGCAGGCGGUUAGAAAAGUCUGAAGUGAAAGCCCACGGCUCAACCGUGGAGGGUCAUUGGAAACUGGAAAACUUGAGUGCAGAAGAGGAAAGUGGAAUUCCAUGUGUAGCGGUGAAAUGCGCAGAAAUAUGGAGGAACACCAGUGGCGAAGGCGACUUUCUGGUCUGUAACUGACGCUGAUGUGCGAAAGCGUGGGGAUCAAACAGG
rnacentral:rRNA from 1 species